rnacentral:lncRNA from 1 species
AAGCAAUUUUAGCUACCUGGAUAGGGCUGGGACCCUCCGCGCAGGUCCCAGCCCUAAAGUUGUUUUCUUCGUGAAUUUAUAAGCUCAACAACUUUGCAGUCUUGGGUGAAUACAAAAACAACUGUCUGCUGUUGACAAAAACGAGCAAAUUUUGUGCAAGCAAAUUCUUGAAGAAUGAAAAUCCCUUUGCUUUUAGUGAGGUGGCUGUUUGCUCAUUUUUAUCGACAGCAGACGGUAAUAUUUGUUUUCGGCCAAGACUGCGAAGUUGGUCAAAUUCAAAUUUCGCGCCAGAGCUCUAGCGGCGGGAGCUGAAAGCCGAAAUCUGGCCGAAAGGCUCGGGAAGAGCAUACAUACGUUUCACUAAUUACCUUUAGGCAAUUCGGCAGGCAUGAGUAAAUCUACAGGACUUUUCUUCGUAGCUUUUACUUGUGCCAUGUCUGUUAGUUUUCCAAAUUACACCUAAAUUGAAAAUCAAAAUAAGCCAGACACUUACUAACAGUAGCUCUUGACAUAUCUGGCUGAGCAAUUGCUUCAGCCGUUCCGCUAUUUGUGCCAUCUUUGCCCCCGCCAAAAGCUAUAAAUUGGGUUUGUACUUGGCCUCUGUACCGCGACUUCCGGUCUGUUUCCCGUUUAGUCCUCCGUUUGAUACGACUCCUUGUCUCAGAAUGGACCGAGGCAGCAUCCACACUAUCCUCGUUGAGAAUCAGAACCUCGCUAGAGCUGGUGAGAGAACGCUGAUUUCGUAAUAUUGGAUCGUUAGGCUGAAUCUUCGGCUGAUGGCUGGAGGAUAGCACUUGAUGACUCGUUUCGUGACACCUUUUCCCGAAUAAGACAAGUGAAACACAUUUGUAGAUCUUCUUUUUGAGGUUGACCAAUUAUUUUGACGUUGUUGCGACCUGUGGCAUUUGAUUUUCUUUCGCGUGCAAAAAUCCUAUAAAAUUCAAGAAAAUUAUAUCUAUUUCUAGUUCCUUGUGCCAUGACGUAUCCUGUUCUUACGAUUACUUUCAUAGUUUUUUUGGAAACUGCCUCUUGUCAAGUCACGGGACAAGUCAAUAAUAGAGGACGGUCAAAUUGGUGCUCAAUAGCGUGCUUCCGUCAGCCGCAGUUUGCCGUACACUCGCCCCCAUCUUACGCUUCGCCCCCCAACACGCAAGUAGGGAGGUUUGGGGGAAAUGGAAAUGGAAAUGGAAAUGGAUCUCAAGGAAGCAGCCCCUCGUCAAUACCAGGAUCAACUGUGUACUACCCUACAGGGAGGGAUCUAGAGGAGUUCAUGCGAAAGUACCCACACAAUUCGGGCGAACUUUCAAUGUAUUAUGGUGAUCAAGGGGCCAGUUCAUCUUCAGGCCCGAAAGUUUCAUCUCCAAGGCUAUCCAAGCUCAAACCCAGCCUUAGCUUCGGCAGCUCCUCCUCAAGAGGAAGCCCUGGCCCCGAAUAUGACAGGCUACUGUGGGAUUGCUGGAACGAUUGCAUCUUGUACCAUGGUUACUUCAGAAAGUCAACUUAUAUAAACCAAGCAGGCCAGACAAUGAAGCGGAUAGCGGAUCCAAAGCUGAUCAAGCGGGAAUCAGCUCUCUCUCGAAAUCUGAGUUUUGGGACCCUCAGGAUCAUGGAUCCUUUUCAUGGAAAAGGUGUUGGUGGUGGCGACUUCCUCCCAAAAGGGAGAGGGGGAGGCACAUCAUCUAGAAGUGAUUCUUCUAAAGAGUCGUCUCCGCGGUUCCCAACCCCCAGGGCCGAUCCCAAGAAUAAAAGUCCAUGGAUAUGCUUUUGCAAGCUUUCUGAGGAGUUGAUUGAUGUUCUAAAGGCCCAUAAAAGAGACUUCAAAUCAUUCGUGAAAGACAACAGACUCUUGGAGGAAAAGCUCCACGCAUUCCUCGAGUCAUAUCGGUAUGACAUAGUUCCUUUCAGUCAACUCGUGACAAAAGCAGAAGCGAGUCUGCUUGGCAACAAUGUGCAAACUAUUUGAGGCGGCAAAGACUUUGAAUUCAGUUCAACGUAGGUAUCAGUAUCAAAACCCAGUCGUCGCCGACCAUAGGAUUGUCAAAAUGUUUAAAAAAUUUGACAACUUCCUCGAUAAUCUUUUUUUUAAUGUCAAGUGAGCCAACACCUUUAGAUCACUGAGCUAAUCUGAACCAAUCUGGCUGUAUAAUAAAUCUUUUUCACUAAUAACGUGAUUUUUUGUUUUUAUAUCUUGGACUAAUUGCGCAAUGCUUAUAGAAGUACACUAAAAGCGUGGCAUCUGUAAGCACAGUCGUAUCUUGUUAUAACGUUUCACUAGAUAACUUUGCUCGAAAUAAAACAUUUUCCCGGCAACAAUGUUCAUUUUAUCAAGUCCAGGCCGGCUAUUAAGCGCUCAGCCGAUAGGCAGCGCUUUUUGAUUUCGACUUGCCUCUAGAAUACUGCCGUGCUUACUGGUUAGGUUGCGUAAACCCGCGGCUGAUGCAUGUAUCAUCACCCAUUGAAUCGUGGGUAAUUUUAAAGCCGUUCCUGUGGCGGGAAGGUAGUUGAAAUUAUGAAUCAUCAUAGCAAAUUAAUCAGAUCAUUUAAGCUGUUGGAUCACUUGAUUUAAUCGAUCCCGUAUCGAACUGAGUAGAAAUUUCAUUACUUGAUUAGUUGAAAUCUGUGAAUCAUUUCGCAAAUCCCUCUUUUGUUCAGACCAAACUGCUGUUUAAAAUUUUUCCAUAAAAUUACACGUGCAAGUAUGAAGAAACCGUCGUCUUCGGUUCGAUUACUUCUAAUUGGUCAAUACCUUGAUUUGAGCGUUUCUGAUUGGUCUAUCGUUUGCGGAAUGUUACUGUGCAUUUAUGAUGACGUGCUCCACGACAGCUUAUUCAAUCCCCUAUCAAUACUGUAGUCUUUAAGUUGUAUCAUGUACUUCCUUGUGUAAAGCUUAUUUUUAAAUAAUGGUCAAUUGAAGGUGGCGUAAAUCGAGUGUUUACAUCAUAAACCUAAUUUUAAUUGAAGUCAAGGUGUCAUUAAUCAUUGAAAACCCCUUAAUCGAAUCAUUUCGUGUUAGUGACAGUUCUUGAUUAAAAAAAUGUUGCUCUUGAGAAGCCGCCAUUACCCCACCUCAAAUUUUAAAAAUGAAAAUCAAGAAAUAAUUACCAUCGCACAAGGUGAAAAAUUGCUCUGGAGGAUUCGUGCUGACAAAGAAGCCAAAAUCAGAACUCGAUUGAUUGAUUUAAUUCAUGAAUAUGCAAAUAUUGGAUCAGCUCUAAUUCCGCGAUAGCGAAUGCAUCAGUUAAAUAUUCUUUUUUCUGGCCCCCCUCAACAGCCGUGAUACCUCGGUUGGUUGCGCCCCUUACGCUUACUCCCGCUCAUGAGAGAUGGGCAACCUGAGUUCGAUUCUCGCUGACGAGGAAAAAUUUUUACUGAUUGUAAUGAAUGUUUUAGACCAUUAUUCAAUCCCUCAUCAAUACUGUAGUCAAAUUUAAGUUGUAUCAUUUACUUCCUUGUGUAAAGCUUAUUUUUAAAAAAUGGUCAAUUGAAGGUGGCGUAAAUCGAGUGUUUACAUCAUAUACCUAAUUUUAAUUGAAGUCAAGGUGUCAUUAAUCAUUCAAAACCCCUUAAUCGAAUAAUUUCGUGUUAAAGCAGUUCAGAAGAAGAACCAACUUGAUUAUGAAUCAUGCCGCGCUUAUCCAACACCUCGUGUUGGACUUUCCUGCUUGUUUUUUCCGUACAAUUUUAAAACAAAUAAAGCUGUGAAAACCGUAUUUCAUGCUUUUUACGUAAUGCGCGGGUAGUUUCGAAUGCUUUUCUAAAAGAAAAUGCUUUAGCGGUAGAGUAAUUCUUAUCGAAAUUGAUCGUUGAAAAUUUGACGAGCGGAAUAAAACUCGCCUGAUGAGCUCAACGGUGGCUAUCAUUUUCGGGAAACGAAAAAACUCGUUUACAUAGACAAUAUUGCGCUCCCUUCAUUACUUUACUAAUGUGGAAGAUUGUUCCCAAGUUCUGUUGUGUACGGCGUGUAGUAGCACAAGCACCUUGCGUCAGUGUCACUCUCAUUGGUUUUCGUUGUGUACGGCGUGUAGUAUCACACGCACCUUUCGUCAGUGUCACUCUCAUUGGUUGUCAGCGAUAAACCGAAUCUGAAGAUUAAUUUACGUUGACACAACUCAUUGCCAGAUAGUGUCUCUCUUCUGUGAGUUCCUCUGUGAAAGUUCCAUUCCUUGGUUUCCUUGGUAACCUUUGUUUGCCAUCAGCUGAUGUUUUAUUUUCAUUUCCCUGCUAAGUCGACGGAUUUUAUACUUCCUUUUUUUUUUUUAAAUCAUUGCUAGGUUAGUUCUAGUUUUUUUGCCAGCUACCCUCCCGGCUCAUUUUUCUAACUCCCGCAGCCCCCCUCCCCCAUUCAUUUUAUUUAUAUUUUUUUUCUUAUGGCAUGCCUUGCUCCCCUACCACCAUUUUUUCGGGGUUUCAUUCAUAGGGAUAAAAUAUUGUAUUGUCUGUAGAUCUUCGAUAUAUCGUUCGAUGUAAAGCAGGAUAUAGACAGGGAUAAGAUGGAAUUUAUUGAUAUUAACAAUAUUAAUAAUAUAUUAACAAUAUUAUUAAUCAAUUACAGUGGCGUGGCGUGAAUGAUCGAUUAUCGAUAUUUCCCCAUCUGAAUCCGUGGUAAAUAAUCGAUUAUUAAGGUGUUCGCUGCGAACACCCAGUUAAUCGAUCCAUUUCCAUGGGUUUAAAUGACAAAUCAAUCGAUAUAUCGCAAAGCACGCCACGCCACUGAUCAUUUAUUAACAAUGUAAAUUCAGAAGGGCAAAUAAAGAAAUGUGUAACUAUAUAAAAUUUGUAUUCUUCACUAAACACACAGACUAACACCUGAGCGCUUUUCUAAUACGACAGUAUUAGAACUUUCCCGCUUGUUUCUCAUUGAGCUGUUUUCUGAAAUAAUGUUUCUCCGGAAACAGCAUCCUAUUUUUAAUGCCCC